AGCCCACAGGGCCCAACAUCCUCGCCGGUCGCCGCCACUCUCGUCCCUCUCCCUUCCCCGAGCGCCGCCGCCUCCCUCGCUUCCAGCUCCGAAAGCGCCUUCCCCCCAAGCCCAGCGGCGUCGCUGCCUCCCUCCUCGGCGAUCGCCGCCUCCAUUUCUCGCGCUCGAGGUCCGCCUCCUUUGCGCCGGCGGCUUGCUGGCUGGUUGCUUCCCCGCCGCGUGCCUCGGAGGGGACCGGCCGUUUCUUGUUGCCCUCCUUGCUUGCUUGCUUGCUUCCUCCCCCUCGUCGCCGCUCACUCCGCAGCGGGGGUCCCCGCCAUAUGUAAGCAGCAUCUCGACGAUCUUGUGUCGCGUAGCCUCUAAACCUGUGUGAUUUACAAGGAUUAGGGCGUCGAAUUAGACUUCCCCGUGUAGGUGUGCAUCAGAGCUGUUCGACGUAAUGCCCGUGCCGCAUGGCGAUGACUGCCGCAUCUGUUUUUGGAUCUGGUGGAUGUUUGGAAUUACUAACGUCGAGUAAAGCCAUGCGAGGAAAGCUUUGGACAAGACUUGCCCCUUUCAUAUCCAAGCGUCAUGCUUCAACCUCUCAGACCUCAUUAUCUUCAUCUUCUUCGUCAUGCUCCGUGAUAAAUCCAUGGCUCUUUGUUGGUCUCGGCAACCCUGGUGAGAAGUAUCAAUGCACCAGACACAAUGUUGGGUUUGAUAUGAUAGACAUGUUUGCACAGUCUCAGGGUAUAUCUCUAACCAGGCAUCCCUUCAAGGCACUAUUUGGGGAAGGAAUGGUCGAAGGUGUACCUGUUUUGCUUGCUAAGCCUCAAACAUAUAUGAAUCUCAGUGGUGAAUCUGUUGGGCCACUUGCUGCCUAUUAUAAAUUACCACUUAAUCGCGUCCUUGUGGCAUUUGAUGACAUGGACCUGCCCUGUGGAGUUCUUCGUUUACAACCUAAAGGAGGAUAUGGGCGCCAUAAUGGGGUGAAGAGCUUGAUAUACCAUUUUCGUAAGAACCGAGAAUUUGGUCGAUUAAGGAUUGGAAUUGGACGGCCACCUGGCCAAAUGGACCCCAAAGCUUUUGUGCUCCAGAAGUUUAAUAAGACCGGUCGAGAACGGAUUGAUUCAGCCAUAGAAGAGGGUGUUGAGAUUCUUAAGUUGGUUGUUACCAAGGGUUUGACAGAGGCUGCAAGAUCAUCAAAUGUGGAUCAGAAGUAUAAGCAUCUGACAACACACGACAUGCAACUGUAAAGAUGAUGACAGACGCUGCUUGUCCGAGAGCGAUCCACUAUUACCUGUUGAAUGCCUGAUGGGAGAACCUGGUAACAUCUAAACUGCUUGAUUCAUUGAUUUGCCAAACUUAUUACAAGGGCUGUCAGCCGUCUCCUUUGCAUUGGAUUUCUUCUACCCCAUGGACUGAAUGGACGGAGCCGAAGAAACAGCAAAAGUACACGGAAGAGGAUCCUCUAACUUACUUCCCUCUGACUUUGAGUCAUUGACAUGUGUACCCGAUAGGUAAAGAGCCCACAUAUCAAUGACACAAGUUAGAGGAAAAUAAGUUAGAGGAUUUUAAUCCAAAGCACACAAGAGUAAGUAGUACUUUCCGUAAUACCAUACGUUCUCUGAACAAGCUGGUAAUAUUAGGAAAACCACAUGAGCACUGAGCACACAUAUACAUGCGCCAAGCAGCCCUAGAUUAUUAACUAAUUUUAUUUGCUCUUCAGUCCAA